UGUGAGUGCAGUUACCCAUUUGUCUUGUUCAAUUGUCAAAACAAAACAAAACAAAAAAAAAAAAAAAAACUGAAUAUGAUGCGUAUGGGUUGUUGCAUGCUACAACCAGCCCAAUUCCAUUAUAGGUUGUGCUGGAUCUCCGAGUGCUCAGAAUGAAGAUACAAAAGAUUGUUGCCAAAUUGAAGAUUAGUAAGGAAAUUAAGGCUGUGUUAAAUUGUUAGAAUAAUACCCCUAAUGCCUUCCACAGAAAUACUUCCUUUCAUCAUUCAAAUUCUGGCAUCCUGUGAAAAACUACUCGUGCAAGUGCCACAACACGAGUAAUCACAGCCAUUGAGAGAAUUUCAAAUUUCUGUCCAAUUACUGCUAGCAGGACUUUGAGAACAACGAUGUACAAGUUAUGUUGUCCUACAGAAGUAAUUUCUCCAGUGGUAGCUAUGUUUUUCACAUUAUAACUUAAGGCAGAUGAAGAUGUUACAGAAUUUUACAAUUCAACAAUGAACUGGUUGUGAUGUUUAUAAGGAUUAAAAGUUGAAUGCUACUGGGAUGUACUAAUAUUGGUCAAGUCACAAAUUGUAAUUGUUGUUGUUGUUAGCUGCAUCAGCCAGAUUGGCUCAGAGCUACUCAUCUUCCAUAGCCCUAAAUAAAUCUUUACAAAAUAUUUGCCAAUUACAAAAAGAGGAGGAGGAAACCUUCAAAAUCAGUUAGUUAAAGCAUAAUGAUCAAGGUGUCAGUGCCUUGGGAUAAGUGAUUGGGACUUUCUGCCAGUGAAUUGCAAAUUCCAUUGUGAUUUUUUUUAUUGAAAAUAAUUUGUUUUCGGAAAACUAAAUUAAAAAUAUGAAAUUAUAAAUAUUUUAUUGAAAUAAUAAAAAUGGGUCACAUUUAAUUUUUUUUAAUGAUUAUAAAAAAAAACCAUAUCUAAAGGAGCCUUCUUAUAGUCAUUUAAGGUUCCCAUUAUUUGCCAUUGUAUAUGUGACUAUUGUGUGAACUUGUCAAUCAUUGACAAAAUGAGUACAAAUUAUAGUGCAUGUUCCUGAAUUAAUUUUUAUCCUAAGAGUACAAGUCCACAUUGCACAUAUAUAAUUUGUAUAUUGUGCUAAUAUAUACAAAAAAAAAAAUCCACUAUUGUUUUAUGUUGAUAUGAUUAUAGUGGAUUGGCAAUGUGAGAGUGCUCUGAGUGGCAGCUAUGUAUUCGUAUUUGGCUUUGUAAAUAUUUAUAACUGUAUAGUAAAUUGUUCUUUGUUUGUAUCCUUUGAGAGAAUUGAUUUCCUGGUUAUUCUCAUAGCCCUGAUUGCACUGAUCUUGUUGACAAUUUGCAAGAAAAGUUGCAUAGCUUGCAGUAAUUGUGAUGGUUUAUAAGCUAACGCACAUCUUUUCCUAUGAGUGCUCAUACCAUUGUGCAAGAGGUGUGGAAUUCAAUGACCUAGUCUGAUCAUUCCACUUUAUGUAUACUUACAGUGAGACCAGAUAGGAUUGAAAAGAUUGCUAUUUGGUGGCAAAUUGUACUCUUUUUUGUGUAAGAGCAGAUUUUUACAUAAAAGCAAGUGUAUUUAAAUGCCCUUGAUUGAAAUAUUUCCAGAAUAUUGGAAAGCAAGUUCCCAAUACAUAAUGAAAGGGAAAGUGCCACUUCUAAAGAAGUACCAUACGCAUCAGGAUACUGUGAUUUCAGGAAUACAAUUUUAAUAUCUAUAGCUUAAGUAAAACAGAUAACAAAGUAUUACACUCCUCAUUAUGUGCAAAAUUUCAAUUGUUUAGGAUUAGAAGAAAACUGAACAGCAUUGAAAUACAUUGGUGAUCUGAUGGUGUGUGAUUGUGAUUGGACAAUCAAUGCUAUUGUAGCUUCGUGUUGUGAAGUCUACCACCAAACUGUGAAUCAAUAAAUUACAAAGAAAUUUGCUCAGCCACAUUUGUCAAUGAAAAGAUUAAUACCUCGUGUGCCAAAGUUUUUGAGAUUGUUAAGAUUGUUUGCUGUUAGUCUCUUCAGUUGGUAGAUUAAAAACCUGCCAUGUUACAGCUUUAACUCCAAAGAAAACUUGCUUCCUUUUGUCAAGAGUUUACAGUUGGAGCCAUAAGUUUGAAGUUCUUGCCAUUUGCUGUCAAAUUUAGCGUUGUCUUAUUCUUUUUUAUUAUUUUUUAAAUUAAAUUGUCUAGUUGUUUAUAAAUAAUUGUGCAGCCAGAGUAGUUUAUAUGUAUAUAUAUAUAAGAUUUGGAUUUUAUCUGAGGUUAUAAAUUUAUAUCCUAAGAGAUCUGCCUAUUUAUCAGGUGCAAUCGAAUCAGUCCUGCCGGAGGAAAGGUAAGUUUUGAAUAUCACAAUGGAAAUAAAUGUUGAUGUGAGAUCAUAAAAUUUAUGUGCUGUCAAGGGCAAAAAACGUGCUAUGCAGUCUGACUAUCUUGCCUAGUCAUGAUUAUAAACUAUUUGCACAAAUUAGAAAUACAAUAUCUUCGUAUAUUUAAACUAAAUACUUCCCAAAGAUCUGCAUGUUAAAAUGCCAGUUCAAGCCCUCCACAUUUUCAUGUCCUGAUGCUAUAUACUCCUGGCGAAGGUAAGUCGGUUGUCUAAUGAUUCUCCCCAUCCCCCACCAUGUGCCUUCGACUUUUUGCUGACUUUAUCGAUGGGUCACACAGAUCCUGGCAACGAACCUGCCAAUUCAGUGGAACUUUGUAAACUGAACGGGAGAGAAAUAAUAAUAAUAAUUAUAGGCAAAAGCAGUUUAUUUAUGUACCAAAUAACAGUAUGAUGGUCAUUCAGCAUUCACUUUUGCAGCCAUUUCACUUAUGUUUGUGCAGGCAUAUUGUCACUGCCUAAUUCAUCUCUUGUCAGCUCUUCUGAUUUUUGCAAGAGCUGUGAUCUCCGGCUUAAUUUAAUUUCUCUCCUCCUUUUUGCAUCAUAUGGAGCUGAAAAAUGGUGUGAGGGACAUAACCAACUACUGUUAAUACCUCGUCUAUAUGUGCGUGUUUGUAUUUGUAUGUGUGUGUAUAUAUGUGUAUUUAGUGGGGAUUUCAUUAGGGAUGGUGACGAAAAGUUGCCAUAUUUAUGUAGGGGAUUUCAGAAUAUAGAAAAUAUUGUCAUUGAUGUAGUUUAUGUAUGUAGUUUAUAUUGCUUAUAUAUAUAUAUAUAUAAUUAUUUUUUUGUUUGUUUUUUGUUUUUGCACAGAGCCC
rnacentral:lncRNA from 1 species